UGAGUGGCGGACGGGUGAGUAACGCGUGGGCAACCUGGCCUGUACAGGGGGAUAACACUUAGAAAUAGGUGCUAAUACCGCAUAACGGGGGAAGCCGCAUGGCUUUCCCUGAAAACUCCGGUGGUACAGGAUGGGCCCGCGUCUGAUUAGCCAGUUGGCAGGGUAACGGCCUACCAAAGCGACGAUCAGUAGCCGGCCUGAGAGGGCGGACGGCCACACUGGGACUGAGACACGGCCCAGACUCCUACGGAAGGCAGCAG
rnacentral:rRNA from 1 species